AAGUCGUAACAAGGUCUCCGUAGGUGAACCUGCGGAGGGAUCAUUACAGAGUUCAUGCCCUUUAGGGUAGACCUCCCACCCGUGCCGAUUUACCUGUGUUGCUUUGGCAGGCUGCCCGGCUCCCGGGCGACUGGUGCUGCCAGUCUACGCCUGCCAGAGGCCGUCAACUCUGAAUUUUGUGUGGUCUUAGUCCUAUUAAAUCGUUUAAAACUUUCAACAACGGAUCUCUUGGUUCUG
rnacentral:misc_RNA from 1 species